rnacentral:rRNA from 1 species
GCCGUAAAGAUGUCGACUUGGAGGUUGUUCCCUUGAGGAGUGGCUUCCGGAGCUAACGCGUUAAGUCGACCGCCUGGGGAGUACGGCCGCAAGGUUAAAACUCAAAUGAAUUGACGGGGGCCCGCACAAGCGGUGGAGCAUGUGGUUUAAUUCGAUGCAACGCGAAGAACCUUACCUACUCUUGACAUCCAGAGAACUUAGCAGAGAUGCUUUGGUGCCUUCGGGAACUCUGAGACAGGUGCUGCAUGGCUGUCGUCAGCUCGUGUUGUGAAAUGUUGGGUUAAGUCCCGCAACGAGCGCAACCCUUAUCCUUUGUUGCCAGCGGUUCGGCCGGGAACUCAAAGGAGACUGCCAGUGAUAAACUGGAGGAAGGUGGGGAUGACGUCAAGUCAUCAUGGCCCUUACGAGUAGGGCUACACACGUGCUACAAUGGCGCAUACAAAGAGAAGCGACCUCGCGAGAGCAAGCGGACCUCAUAAAGUGCGUCGUAGUCCGGAUUGGAGUCUGCAACUCGACUCCAUGAAGUCGGAAUCGCUAGUAAUCGUAGAUCAGAAUGCUACGGUGAAUACGUUCCCGGGCCUUGUACACACCGCCCGUCACACCAUGGGAGUGGGUUGCAAAAGAAGUAGGUAGCUUAACCUUCGGGAGGGCGCUUACCACUUUGUGAUUCAUGACUGGGGUGAAGUCUCA